rnacentral:lncRNA from 1 species
UGCGUUGGGCUUGAGGAACUAUACGGCAUGACUCAGUGCUUUGGAAUGAAAGUGUCAUUAUCAUCUAAGGAAAAUCUCACUUUAUCCUUAGAGAAAGGGGACCUGAAGACGUUGUUUCAAGAGUGUUUCUGAUGCAGCUGGCUCCUGCCGGCCUCCGCCCCGCCUGCCGGCUCUGCUCUGCUGUUAAUCACAACAGCACCAUGAAAGUGAGGCGCAUGCUAAGGAGGCUGGCCUCAUCUACCCAGAGACUCCUGCUCUGCUGGACGGCCUCCAGACACUUGUGCACACAGCUCUGCCAACAGACAAUCCACGACUUCACAGCCACCAGCAAGCAGGAGAGAACUCGGCAGUUGGGAGAAGAAUACAUACAGACUGAUGGACGAACAGAGACCAGACCUGAGAGCAACAGAUCUGAUCCUUGCCCUAGGGACCAAGAGCUGUUCUAUCAAUGGAGUGAGGAUGACGGGGACAGACCAGACAGGGCUCCAGAUGCUAUACUGAGAAACUGGAGUUUUAUAAUUAAGAGCUGUGGGAGAGCACUUGACAUGGAGGUCCAGGAUGGCACCUGACAAGAGUGGCCACUACAGCCAGGCUGAAACAGCAACUGUGACUGUGCCAAAUGAAUAAAUGAUUGACUGC